rnacentral:rRNA from 1 species
AUUGAACGCUGGCGGCAUGCCUUACACAUGCAAGUCGAACGGCAGCACGGGUGCUUGCACCUGGUGGCGAGUGGCGAACGGGUGAGUAAUACAUCGGAACAUGUCCUGUAGUGGGGGAUAGCCCGGCGAAAGCCGGAUUAAUACCGCAUACGAUCUACGGAUGAAAGCGGGGGACCUUCGGGCCUCGCGCUAUAGGGUUGGCCGAUGGCUGAUUAGCUAGUUGGUGGGGUAAAGGCCUACCAAGGCGACGAUCAGUAGCUGGUCUGAGAGGACGACCAGCGAGACGGGGACUGAGACACGGGCGAGACUCCGACGGGAGGCAGCAGUGGGGAAUGGUGGACAAUGGGCGAAAGCCGGAGCGAGCAAUGCCGCGUGUGUGAAGAAGGCCUUCGGGUUGUAAAGCACGUUUGGCCGGAAAGAAAUCCUGGGCCCUAAGACGGUCGGGGGAUGACGGUACCGGAAGAAUAAGCACCGGCUAACUACGUG